AACGAUGGUUCCCGUACGAUCCCCGAAGUUAAGCAAUGGCGAACCUGACCAGUACCUAGAUGAGUGACCGCUUGGAAAUAACAGGUUCUGUAAU